rnacentral:rRNA from 1 species
AAUCAACGCUGGCGGCGUGCCUCAGACAUGCAAGUCGAACGAUUAAAGCUCUCUUCGGAGAGUGUAUAGAGUGGCGCACGGGUGAGUAACACGUAAGUAAUCUACCUUUGAGUGGGAAUAACCCGGGAACCCGAGCUAAUACCGCAUAAUGCAGCGGCAUCGCAAGAUGACAGUUGUUAAAGGAGCAAUCCGCUUAAAGAGGAGCUUGCGGCAGAUUAGCUAGUUGGUAAGGUAAUGGCUUACCAAGGCUACGAUCUGUAUCCGGUCUAAGAGGACGGUCGGACACACUGACACUGAAUAACGGGUCAGACUCCUACGGGAGGCAGCAGUCGGGAAUUUUGGCAAUGGCGAAAGCCUGACCCAGCAACGCCGCGU